rnacentral:rRNA from 1 species
GAUGAACGCUGGCGGCGUGCUUAACACAUGCAAGUCGAACGAUGAAGCCCAGCUUGCUGGGUGGAUUAGUGGCGAACGGGUGAGUAACACGUGAGUAACCUGCCCUUAACUCUGGGAUAAGCCUGGUAAACUGGGUCUAAUACCGGAUAGGAGCGUCCACCGCAUGGUGGGUGUUGGAAAGAUUUAUCGGUUUUGGAUGGACUCGCGGCCUAUCAGCUUGUUUGUGAGGUAAUGGCUCACCAAGGCGACGACGGGUAGCCGUCCUGAGAGGGUGACCGGCCACACUGGGACUGAGACACGGACCAGACUGCAACGGGAGGCAGCAGUGGGGAAUAUUGCACAAUGGGCGCAAGCCUGAUGCAGCGACGCCGCGUGAGGGAUGACGGCCUUCGGGUUGUAAACCUCUUUCAGUAGGGAAGAAGCGAAAGUGACGGUACCUGAAGAAGAAGCACCGGCUAACUACGUG